rfam:Streptomyces sp. MBRL 601 scaffold00812, whole genome shotgun sequence.
AGAUGAGAGAAACACCCCGCCCGCAGGGCUCUGCGGGCGAUUUCGGGACGGGGCGCGUUCAGCACCGUUCCGGCCGUGCCAUCGCGCACACCGGGGUCUCGCGCUCCGGAACUCCUCAUGGAUCGGA